CUCAUACUGCAUGCCAGACCACAUACUGGAGGGCUGUGGAUACAAAGAUGAAUGAAAGAAGCAUUGCCAUGGAGUCACUAAUGAUGCAAACCACCGAUACUGUGAGGUAGCAUGCAUGGACAGCACUCUCUGUGGGACUGAUGACUGUUAGCAGGAAGGACGGAGGAUGCAGGGGAGGCCUCACGGAAGAGGUUAUAUCAGUCAGGGUCUUCCUGGCAGAACACAGAACACACUGGAAAGGAAUGUCAAGCAGAGCCUAAAGAAGGGACCAGGAUGUGAUUGGAUCUUUAUCUUAAACAUAUAACUGACUCCACCAUGGAAGGGAAUGAAAGGGGAAGAAACUGGAGAUCAGGGACCCAAAGGCAGCAUCAUUGCAGUAAGUGCAGUUGAGACAGGAGGACUUGAACCAUGAGGGAAGUGAGGUUGGUGGAAAAGGGCCUGAGGGGAGAAGUCACUGCAGCCUGAAAAUAGCAAAACCAGGACCACAGAAGGGAAGGUGUCUGCACUGUCGUCCCAGCAGCAGCAUCGCACAGCAGUCUGGCGUCAGAGCAGACAUUUCAGUUCCUCUAUUAAACAGCUGAGACAAUAAUCUUGGCAUUGCGCCCCUUACGGGGUUCUAGGGUCAGUUUCAAAUAACACAAGUACUUUGUAAAAGUAGAGAGUAAGACAAAGGAAACGUGGAAUUGUGGUCAUUGUCAUGGUUAGUGGGGCCUUGCUGAUGAGAAUGGUUUUGUGACACCAUGAAGUUGUAAUAAAAAAAUGAAUCAACUCACCCUUUGCAUGUACAGAGAACAGUAGUGCUCUCCUUCGGGCUUGGGAGGCGGGUGAUUCACCCCAAACUCAUUCCUUCCCGGGACCUCUGCUUUGUCACCUGGAUUUUCUGAGCUCAGCUAGCUGAAGCACGUUUAUCGUCUCAGGAGUUUGAUCACCUGGCUAGUCAGUUACCUUUAUUCAUGAAAACAAGUCAAAAAUAUCUAUUGAAUAGUGAUUCUUUUCUGCUUAUUUGUGGACUGUUGGACGGAAGAAAAAAUGGUUGCGAUAUGGCAUUUGACCAGCAGGUGGCACCCAAGGACCGUGUUUGAGGUUUGGCUCCACCUUCCAGCCUUUGCUGGAAACUCAUUCCUUUCCCUCCAAAAAAACAAAAACCCUAAUCAGGAGAAUCAGAGAAGACGCUGCAGGCUUUGAAACAGUUUUCUAUGGAGUAUAAGUCUGUGGUGACAGAAUAAGGGCAGAGGGCCUAAAACUACACUCAUUGUGAUGGAUGGAAAUGAGACAGGAAAAAGAACACUCCAGGGUUGACAUGUGCUUGCCAACGGAAUGGAGACCUCCAUCUUUAGAGGACUUUCCAAAUGAUACCCUGUUUUAGCAGUCUGGAGACAGGCAAUGGGAAAGCCAGCCUCUCCAGAAACCUGUCACUGCUUCCAACACGGGAGGCAUAUUUUUGAGCACAUGAAGAUUGGUUUAUUCUUGUGACUUUAGGGACUGUCUCUAAGCUCUAAAAGUUCUUGCAGCUCAUGCUACGUAGUUUAGGAGUUUUAGAAAAAAUGAGAGAAAGUGUGGGCAGAAAAAAAAGUCUGAAUUUGUGCACUACAUUCCUUUCAUUUAAUAAUUCUAGUUGAAUUUGAAUGAGCACAUAAUACAUGCACAAAGAAUUUUACAGGAACAAUCUGAUUUAAUCAUCACAGCAACCCAAUGAAAUGGAGACAAUCCACAUUGCACAAGUGAUUAACUUGCCCCAAUCCCACAGCAAGUAGAAAAUUCUUACUCUCCAGAUAGUCUUCGUGGACACCUUUGAAGAAACAAUGUGCCCGCAGUAGCCUGACCCUUUAACACGAACUCAGCCAUCCUCUUUCACUCCCACGCUCCUUCCCCCGGAGCGAGGCGAGCCUUAUCUGCCCCUUCUCCCACCAGCUGUCACAGAGCGCCAGCUUAUCCUUCCUGACCUCCAUGGCUUUAUCUCGUUUAAGAAGCUAGAUUUGGCAGUCCUAGAAAUCAAAACAUUUCUCUGUCCAGAUUCUGUAGACCAAGAUACAAUUAUCUCUGACCCAUUAAGUGCAUUAAGUGGUUUUUAUUAUUAUAGAAAUAAUUGCAUGCCCAUGAUCUUAAAAAAUAGUUACGUCACAGAAAGGCAUGAAAUGAGAAAAUUCUCCCUCCUCUGCCCUCCAGAGAUAACCACAAUGACUAGUUUCUGGCUUUUGCUUUUCUCAUGUUUGCCAUCAUAGUAUAAAAUAAAAUGUUUAUGCUUCUAUUACUGAUUUAUCUAAUUUCAACAGAAAGCAUUGUCUAGUAAAUGUCACAGAUGGAGGAUUUAUUGAAUUCUGCAACUUCAUACCCUGUCACAUCUGUAUCUUAAUUUUUAUUAGUAAAU